rnacentral:rRNA from 1 species
UGGGGAAUAUUGCACAAUGGGCGCAAGCCUGAUGCAGCCAUGCCGCGUGUAUGAAGAAGGCCUUGGUUGUAAAGUACUUUCAGCGGGGAGGAAGGCGUUGAGGUUAAUAACCUCAGCGAUUGACGUUACCCGCAGAAGAAGCACCGGCUAACUCCGUGCCAC